AAAGUUUUAUUAUGAAAUCACUGAAGUCCAAUUUGAAUUAAAUUUCAGCCAAGGUACCUCCUUGGCUAAGGAUGAUAUAGACAGUGUGAAUUUUAGAUAGUUUACCUGUUCUGGGGUGUGCCAAUUUUGAUAUAUACUUGAAAUUAAUGGUUGCGUAAAUGACUAACUAAAAGGUGAAAACUAAGGAUAUAUAGAGAUAUUGUCUCAGAUUUGUUGUUGUUGUUUAUUUGUCUUCCCUGUCCUAUUUUCCUCACAAUGGACCUGCCUGAGCUGAUUAGAGAAUCUGCCCUGGUUGUGAACACUAUGGUUGCAUCUGUAAUAAGAAGCUGGAGAUCAAUAAUGAAUGAUUUCAAGGUGACUUAUUCAUUCUUCCAUGGCCACCAGCCCUGUGGUUGGCAGCUCUGUGUUGGACCAAUAAUGAAUACACUAAGCUGAUUGAAACCUUUUGCUGUGAUCAAGAUUGAUAUGCUGCCUCUGUGUUAGGAAAGAAAUCAAGAUAAGUUAUAGUCAGACUUCUUGUCUUGGUAAUGGACAUACUUCAGGUGAUUUAAGCUUUCUUCCAUUGUAAUGGACCCUAUGGUUAUCUCUAUGUAUUAAGAGCACCGAGAUUAAAAAUGGACCCUCUCAAACUGAUUUUAUAAUUCUUCCUUCAUCACAAGCUUUUUGGUUUCAUCUCUGUGAUAGGAGCUUAGCGAACAAAGUGAGUAAUAGCUUAAGUUCUUAUCUUGUUCUGGGUGGUUUGUUUAAGGAGAGUCACUAUAUUAUUAAUAAGUGUGGAAUAAAUUCAGAGAAAGUGAACUAUAGCCUAGUAAUAAACAUGAAGUUAAUAUGAAGUAUUAUAUUGUUUAAUGUAUAUGGGAAAUAUUAAAGAUAAUUAAUGAAAGAGAUAUAUUA